CAAUACAAGAGGAUAUGGGCAAAAGCGAGGCCUGUUGAAACCCAUCAGAAAGAUUGACUGGCACCCUGGGUAAGGAUGACGGACCCCAGGAUCCACAUUUUCCAACAUGGAUGUUGGAGCACACAAUGUUGUGGAGAACCACAGUGUUUUGGAUCAACUUUUGUUAUGGAAAUAUUUCCAAACUGUUGUCAUUUCUGCAUUGGUCACAACAUUGGCCAGGAAACAGGGGAAGAAGAACCAACUUUUUAUGAAGUUUUUGCCAACUCCACUCCAGGGCAAUGGCAAUUCUUCCCAUUUCAGGAGGAACACCCUUUUCCAGAUGACUCCUAAUAUUCUUCUUUCUUCAACUCAGGAACUAAUUUGCCAGAUCUAAGAAUAUAAAAAGCAGUGCAUUCAGGAACAAUGCCUACCUCAGAUAAAAUGUCUUGGGAGCUCUGGAGAAUUUAGACCUUGGAAAUUUUAUGGGGCUGCUGAUCUGAGCUACUGAGGAGACUUUUGCAAAUGUGCCUUCAGAUGACACAAACCCAGAGUAAAUCCCUUCAAAACCUCACUGGUGUUUCUAAAACAGCAUCAAAGGACACACGUCAGUGGUACAAGGAAAUUAGGUGGAAGUUGAAGAGCUAGAUUACCCUCUUCUGAGUCAGGUAAGCAGACCGUAGCAAAUACCUUACUGUCCUCGCAUCUGUUCAUGAGCAGUGUCUGGUGCUACUAAUAUCCAUGCACAUUUGUUAGC
rnacentral:lncRNA from 1 species